rnacentral:rRNA from 1 species
GAUGAACGCUAGCGGCAGGCUUAACACAUGCAAGUCGAGGGGCAGCGCGAUGUAGCAAUACAUUGGCGGCGACCGGCGCACGGGUGCGUAACACGUAUGGAACUUACCCUUUACUGGGAGAUAGCCCGGAGAAAUCCGGAUUAAUAUCCCAUAAUAAACGAAGUGGCAUCACUUUGUUUUGAAAGCUCCGGCGGUAAAGGAUGGCCAUGCGCACGAUUAGCUAGUAGGUGAGGUAACGGCUCACCUAGGCUACGAUCGUUAGGGGGCCUGAGAGGGUUAUCCCCCACACUGGUACUGAGACACGGACCAGACUCCUACGGGAGGCAGCAGUGAGGAAUAUUGCGCAAUGGAGGCAACUCUGACGCAGCCAUGCCGCGUGCAGGAAGAAGGCGCUACGCGUUGUAAACUGCUUUUGUACGGGAAGAAACACCCCCUCGUGAGGGGGCUUGACGGUACCGUAAGAAUAAGGAUCGGCUAACUCCGUGCCAGCAGCCGCGGU